UGGGGAAUUUUGCACAAUGGGGGAAACCCUGAUGCAGCAACGCCGCGUGAGUGAAGAAGGCCUUUGGGUUGUAAAGCUCUUUCGGCUGAGAAGAAGGGCUGUAUGGCUAAUAUCCAUAUAGUUUGACGGUAUCAGAAGAAGAAGCACCUGCUAACUUCGUGCCAGCAGCAGCGGUAAUACGAAGGGUGCAAGCGUUGUUCGGAAUUACUGGGCGUAAAGGGCGCGUAGGCGGGUUUGUAAGUCGAAUGUGAAAUCCCCGGGCUUAACCUGGGACGUGCAUUCGAUACUGCUGAUCUUGAAUGCUUGAGAGGGUGGUGGAAUUCCUAGUGUAGAAGUGAAAUUCGUAGAUAUUAGGAGGAACACCGGAGGCGAAGGCGGCCACCUGGCAAGACAUUGACGC
rnacentral:rRNA from 1 species